rnacentral:rRNA from 1 species
AUACGUAGGGAGCGAGCGUUGUCCGGAAUUACUGGGUGUAAAGGGAGCGUAGGCGGGAGUGCAAGUCAGAUGUGAAAUGCAUGGGCUUAACCCAUGAGCUGCAUUUGAAACUGCAUUUCUUGAGUGAAGUAGAGGUAAGCGGAAUUCCUGGUGUAGCGGUGAAAUGCGUAGAUAUCAGGAGGAACACCGGUGGCGAAGGCGGCUUACUGGGCUUUUACUGACGCUGAGGCUCGAAAGCGUGGGGAGCAAACAGGAUUAGAUACCCUGGUAGUCCACGCUGUAAACGAUGAUUACUAGGUGUGGGGGGACUGACCCCUUACGUGCCGCAGUUAACACAAUAAGUAAUCCACCUGGGGAGUACGGCCGCAAGGUGGAAACUCAAAGGAAUUGACGGGG